rnacentral:rRNA from 1 species
AGACCCGAAACCCGGUGAUCUAGCCAUGGGCAGGUUGAAGGUUGGGUAACACUAACUGGAGGACCGAACCGACUAAUGUUGAAAAAUUAGCGGAUGACCUGUGGCUGGGGGUGAAAGGCCAAUCAAACCGGGAGAUAGCUGGUUCUCCCCGAAAGCUAUUUAGGUAGCGCCUCGUGAACUCAUCUCCGGGGGUAGAGCACUGUUUCGGCUAGGGGGCCAUCCCGGCUUACCAACCCGAUGCAAACUGCGAAUACCGGAGAAUGUUAUCACGGGAGACACACGGCGGGUGCUAACGUCCGUCGUGAAGAGGGAAACAACCCAGACCGCCAGCUAAGGUCCCAAAGUCAUGGUUAAGUGGGAAACGAUGUGGGAAGGCCCAGACAGCCAGGAUGUUGGCUUAGAAGCAGCCAUCAUUUAAAGAAAGCGUAAUAGCUCACUGGUCGAGUCGGCCUGCGCGGAAGAUGUAACGGGGCUAAACCAUGCACCGAAGCUGCGGCAGCGAACGUAUCACUUAAAACGAUUCAGAAGCUUACGAUUGACGGAGCGAAGCGACGUCAAAGCGUAUACAAAGUCGAGUCGGUUUAAGGAUACGUUCGUUGGGUAGGGGAGCGUUCUGUAAGCCGUUGAAGGUGUCCUGUGAGGGGUGCUGGAGGUAUCAGAAGUGCGAAUGCUGACAUAAGUAACGAUAAAGCGGGUGAAAAGCCCGCUCGCCGGAAGACCAAGGGUUCCUGUCCAACGUUAAUCGGGGCAGGGUGAGUCGACCCCUAAGGCGAGGCCGAAAGGCGUAGUCGAUGGGAAACGGGUUAAUAUUCCCGUACUUGGUGUUACUGCGAAGGGGGGACGGAGAAGGCUAUGUUGGCCGGGCGACGGUAGUCCCGGUUUAAGCGUGUAGGUGUGUGUUCCAGGCAAAUCCGGUUCACUUUAACACUGAGGCGUGACGACGAGGCACCACGGUGCUGAAGCAACAAAUGCCCUGCUUCCAGGAAAAGCCUCUAAGCAUCAGGUAACAUCAAAUCGUACCCCAAACCGACACAGGUGGUCAGGUAGAGAAUACCAAGGCGCUUGAGAGAACUCGGGUGAAGGAACUAGGCAAAAUGGUGCCGUAACUUCGGGAGAAGGCACGCUGACACGUAGGUGAAGU